rnacentral:miRNA from 1 species
CAUGCUCUGCCUGUUCCCCGUC